GGGGCCGUAGAUUAGUCUGGAGAAUCGUUCGCUUGGCAUAAAAAAGUUAAGAAUAUUAACUUAAUUACAAAGUGCGAAAGACCACGGGUUCAAAUCCCGUCGGCUCCA
rnacentral:tRNA from 1 species